rnacentral:rRNA from 1 species
CCUACGGGUGGCAGCAGUGGGGAAUUUUGGACAAUGGGCGAAAGCCUGAUCCAGCGACGCCGCGUGGAGGACGAAGGUCUUCGGAUUGUAAACUCCUUUUGCAGGGGACGAAAAAAAUGACGGUACUCUGCGAAUAAGCCACGGCUAACUACGUGCCAGCAGCCGCGGUAAUACGUAGGUGGCGAGCGUUACUCGGAAUCACUAGGCGUAAAGCGCGUGUAGGCGGUAUUUUAAGUCUGUUGUGAAAUCUUAUGGCUCAACCAUAAAAUGUCGACAGAUACUGAAGUACUAGAGUGAGGCAGGGGAAACUGGAAUUCCAGGUGUAGCGGUGGAAUGCGUAGAGAUCGGGAGGAACACCAGUGGCGAAGGCGGCUCUCUGGCUCACUCCUGACGCUGAGUGCGCGAAAGCGUGGGGAGCAAACGGGAUUAGAUACCCUUGUAGU